rnacentral:rRNA from 1 species
AUGAACGCUAGCGGGAGGCCUAAUACAUGCAAGUCGAACGGCAGCACAGCAGAGCUUGCUCUGUGGGUGGCGAGUGGCGGACGGGUGAGGAAUACAGUGGGAAUCUGUCCAGUCGUGGGGGAUAACGUAUGGAAACGUACGCUAAUACCGCAUGCGCCCUACGGGGGGAANCCGGGGACCGCAAGGCCUGGCGCGAUUGGAUGAGCCCAUGUUCGAUUAGCUAGUUGGCGGGUAAAGGCCCACCAAGGCGACGAUCGAUAGCUGGUCUGAGAGGAUGAUCAGCCACACUGGAACUGAGACACGGUCCAGACUCCUACGGGAGGCAGCAGUGGGGAAUUUUGCGCAAUGGCCGAAAGGCUGACGCAGCGACGCCGCGUGCAGGAUGAAGGCCUUCGGGUUGUAAACUGCUUUUGUACGGAACGAAACGGUGAGCUCUAAUACAGUUUGCUAAUGACGGUACCGUAAGAAUAAGGAUCGGCUAACUCCGUG